GACGAACGCUGGCGGCGUGCUUAACACAUGCAAGUCGAACGGAAAGGCCCUUCGGGGUACUCGAGUGGCGAACGGGUGAGUAACACGUGGGUGAUCUGCCCUGCACUUUGGGAUAAGCCUGGGAAACUGGGUCUAAUACCGAAUAGGACCGCAUGCUUCAUGGUGUGUGGUGGAAAGCUUUUGCGGUGUGGGAUGGGCCCGCGGCCUAUCAGCUUGUUGGUGGGGUAAUGGCCUACCAAGGCGACGACGGGUAGCCGGCCUGAGAGGGUGACCGGCCACACUGGGACUGGGAUACGGCCCAGACUCCGACGGGAGGCAGCAGUGGGGAAUAUUGCACAAUGGGCGCAAGCCUGAUGCAGCGACGCCGCGUGAGGGAUGACGGCCUUCGGGUUGUAAACCUCUUUCAGCAGGGACGAAGCGCAAGUGACGGUACCUGCAGAAGAAGGACCGGCCUACUACGUGCCAGCCGCCGCCGUAA
rnacentral:rRNA from 1 species